rnacentral:sRNA from 1 species
AUUUUUAUUAAUUAUUAUAGUUCACUUCUCAUCUUUAUAUGAUUCUAUUUUUACGAAAAAAUAAUAUCAUCAUUAUAAAAAAAUAAUUAGAGUUUUUUUCGCAUAUGCCAUAAUUUGAAUUUUUAAAAACGAAUAUAAACUGUUCAAUACAUGAAAUAAUAUUAUAACGGGUGAAAAAUAGAUUUAAGAAAACUUUCUACUGAGUAACGGGACAUAAAUUUGAAAUAUUUAUAUUUAAUUUCAUACAUAUUAUAUUGAAAAUUUAUAAUCUUAUAUACGACAAUAGUUAAUAACAUAUUAGAUGUGAUUCAAUUUUUAAUACAAGCUGGAAAAUCCUACAAUUGACGGGUUUAGAUCGAUAUUAAUACAAGAUGGUAUACUACAUGUGAAACUCUUAAAUUAACAAUCAAACUACAAGUGUAUAAUCUUAAACACCAAACAAUAUAGAUAAUAUCAACAAAACAUAUACAGUUCACAGUUUACUAUACAUUUAAAAUCAAAUAAAAUAAUAUCAUAUAUUUUUAAAUCAUCUUUACAAUAAAAAAUUUUAGUUUAACUAAAAUAUAAGCAUACUUGCGGUAUACUGCAGAUAAUCUCUAGAUUAUAGGACUUAUUGGAUCUAAAGACGGGUCAUCAAAGAUUUCCUAAACUGAAGCAAAAUAUACUGAAUAUUCAAAUAUCUAUCUGUUACCAAAUUAUAAACAAAUAAGUCAAUUUAAUAUUUUAUAUAUG